rnacentral:rRNA from 1 species
UCGGGAAUUUUGGGCAAUGGGGGAAACCCUGACCCAGCAACGCCGCGUGAAGGAUGAAGUAUUUCGGUAUGUAAACUUCGAAAGAAUAGGAAGAAUAAAUGACGGUACUAUUUAUAAGGUCCGGCUAACUACGUGCCAGCAGCCGCGGUAAUACGUAGGGACCAAGCGUUGUUCGGAUUUACUGGGCGUAAAGGGCGCGUAGGCGGCAUGACAAGUCACUUGUGAAAUCUCUGGGCUUAACCCAGAACGGCCAAGUGAUACUGUCGCGCUAGAGUGCAGAAGGGGCAAUCGGAAUUCUUGGUGUAGCGGUGAAAUGCGUAGAUAUCAAGAGGAACACCUGAGGUGAAGACGGGUUGCUGGGCUGACACUGACGCUGAGGCACGAAGGCCAGGGGAGCAAAAGGGAUUAGAUACCCUAGUAGUCCCUGAGCGGGCUGGCAAGGCGCAU